rnacentral:rRNA from 1 species
CCUACGGGUGGCAGCAGUGGGGAAUAUUGGACAAUGGGGGGAACCCUGAUCCAGCCAUGCCGCGUGUGUGAAGAAGGCCCUCGGGUUGUAAAGCACUUUCAGUGAGGAAGAACGCCUGGUGGUUAAUACCCAUCAGGAAAGACAUCACUCACAGAAGAAGCACCGGCUAACUCCGUGCCAGCAGCCGCGGUAAUACGGAGGGUGCGAGCGUUAAUCGGAAUUACUGGGCGUAAAGCGCGCGUAGGUGGCUUGAUAAGCCGGUUGUGAAAGCCCCGGGCUCAACCUGGGAACGGCAUCCGGAACUGUCAAGCUAGAGUGCAGGAGAGGAAGGUAGAAUUCCCGGUGUAGCGGUGAAAUGCGUAGAGAUCGGGAGGAAUACCAGUGGCGAAGGCGGCCUUCUGGACUGAUACUGACACUGAGGUGCGAAAGCGUGGGUAGCAAACAGGAUUAGAUACCCUUGUAGUC